GAUUGCUCUUAUAUUGGACUGUGGCUGCAUUCAAAAUGGUUCUCAGCUGUUCCCUGGAGCAACUUCACUUAAAAUAGAAUCUCUGUUGGUUCAGCCAUGUCCAGUCCCGCUCUGUUGUUACCAGGAAAAAUUAGCUUUGACAUUGAAGGUGGAGUUCUGUCUUUUAACCCCUUCCAGUUUCUGUGACAGAAUGGCCUUACCCCAGAGGAAGUGAGAUUCCAGUAUGAAGAAGCUGUGAGAAACCAGAGAAACCCACUGCUUUAUGCUGUGGUAUUUGUGGGCAACUUCUUGAAUCCUUGCCUAAGGGAGAGGGCUAGUCAAUCUGGUCUAGCAUUGUGGGUCUCCCAUCAAAGACUCUUUGGUCUAUCUGAAAAGGUGGCUUUACCCCCAACUAAAAGAACAGUGGGGCAGAGGGUAGAUGCUGACUAUUGUGAAAAAGUGUAAAGUGAAUUAGAAAGAAAGACCCUUAAGAUACUUUCAAAGAGAAUAUUAAAAUACAAAUAGAGAAUUUCUUUGAUUAAUAGAUUUAUUUUCUAGAGCAAUUCACAGCAGGUUCACUGCAAAAUUGGGCAGAAAGUACAAUGAGUUCCAUAUGCCCCUUUUCCUACAUGUGUAUAACCCUUUACUCCUCAUCAGCAUCCCUCACCACCGUGAUCCACUUUUUGUUGUUGGUGGUGGUUGUGGGGCUUGAACUCAGGGCCUGGACACUGUCCCUGAGCCUCUUUGUGCUCAAAGCUAGUGCUCUACCAAUCAAGCCACAGCUUUUGAGUCUUAGUUGAACACAGGUUUUGUGGCUUAAAAUUGUGCCAGAUGCCACUGUACUACACUGGCUUUUCUAGAUGCUAAUUAGUGCUGAUCCUAUUGACUUUACACCAGUGAAAAUCACAGGCAUAAAUGUCAUUUAAUUAAUAAUACAAAAUGAAAUAGCAAUUUCACUUUGAAGUUUCUGUUUGCUUGUUAUGAUUUUAGGUUGGUUCCAAUCCUCACUAGGAGUUUCUUGUGUUUGAAAGUGUCAUAGGAAUGUUGUAGUUCUUAUGCUAUGAGAUCUGCAUAUUUCAACAGUAGCUCUUUAACCAAGAAAGGUUAAGUGCUUUGCUCAAGGUUCUGCUAUUGAUCUGACUCUUCCUAUGUUACCAGCUCUCCAAGUAUGUAGCCACCACAGUUUUGAGGGACGAGGUAUCUCUCACCCUCACCCAGACAUUUUAGAUAUAUAUACACAUCACUUGGGUUUUCCUUAUGGUGGCUGAGAGCGAAUGUAAUGAACAAUUGUUUGCAUUUGCUGUCUGGAUGGGAAUAGAAGUGCUUUCAUACAUCUCGAGCACAGUUGAGAUAUCCUUCUCUAGCAAGUAGCCUACAAGGAGUCCUGGAGGGGCUGUAAAUUAUCUGCCUUCUGAACACUUCAAGGUGUCACAGAGGUCCUGCAGAAACAAUUAAACCUGAGAGGCUCACUUGCGAUCAGGCUGAGACAUUGGAGCUGUGAUUAUUGGCCCAAACUCCUUCCUUUCCAAAUAAGUUGCAAUUUGUAGGCAGGGAGAGAAUUGGUUAGAGACAUCUUAAGUUUUACAGGUUGUGUUCCACAAUUGCGCCUUUCGCUAGUAUUCUAGGGAGAUAGGUCACCAAGCGCUGGUAUUUUUG